rnacentral:lncRNA from 1 species
AACUUUCCUUUCUUCUACCAAAGAAGAAGCAGUAACUUAUGACAUUGGUUAAAGAUUGAUGGUCAGUCUGAGAGCAUACACUUCCCUGUAAUAAAUUCUCAUAUUGCGGGAGGAACCAUGGCUGAUUGAAAUGUGAUACACUUCUACAUACACAUGCAGAAACCUACAUCCCUAUGAGUGACAUUAACUGGAUCUGCCUGGGAUAGCAGCAUCCUUGUGUUCUGAGGAAGGCACAUCCCAUUCUGUUGUGUGCCUCUUGGACAUCUCCCUAAUUUGAAACAGAAACACCCCCACCCCAUGAAGCUUUUGAAAAUAAUUGAGGCAAAGAAGCUACUACUAAGAGGACACCAUGCUUUAAUGAUUCUAGCUGAAGGAAAAAGUGUAAGAAUUGUGGAAUUGAUGAUAGAAACUGUGUCAGAGAAGGAUGAAGAGCAAACCAGAACUGCUGGUGUUGAAAAUGACUUGCAAUUUAAGUAAGAAGAAAUAUCAAAUAUCUCCCUGAAGCUGAAGAAUUUGGGAAAAUUACAUGUGAGGAGUUAAAAAACUUGGAAAUUACUUAAAAGGUGCAUGAAACACUUGAAAGCAACAAGCCAGCAUCCAAACAAAAGAGGGUUGUCAUCUGGUACUGCUGCUGCCCACUCUUCAAAACAGAAAUCAUUCCUGACUUCAGUGGGUCUGUUUUCCUAGCAGACAAAACAAUUGGUUUUGGAUGCUAAAUUGUUAACCCAAGUCAGCUCUGCUGACCUACAGCUAAUCUUUUCAGUCAGGAGAUUGAAACUUAAACCCAAACUUAGCUCCUUCUGACUAAUCCAAGUGAAUUUAGCACAAAGAUGAUUCCACCUCAUCCACGUGAAUUUGUUUCUGUGCAAAUGUUAUGUUGGGUAUUAUGAGCAGAAAGUGACACAUGUGUUUGUGCCUUCUAAAUAAAAGCCUUUUGU